GUGUACCUAAUCUCAAACCCGUAUCCGUUUCGAAACGUGUCGUGCACUUUUCGUGUAGUUUUCGUGUACAUUUAAUAUAAAUAUAAUAAUUAAAUUUAAUUAAAAUAUAUUUUAAAAAAAUACAUUUUUUAUGUAUUAUUUAAUGAAAUAUAUGCAUUUUUAUGUAUUAUAUAGUGAAAUAUAUAUUAAAUCUUUAUAUAUGUAUACAAUUGUGUAAAAAUUUGUACAUGUAUAUAUAUUAUAUAUAUAAAUAGAGUCAUACUCCAGUGAGAACCAAUCUUAUGAUGAGAUAUGAGAUCUAAUCUCAGCCACUCAUUUAAAUACAUUAUAUUCAUCUCUUACCAUUCAUUUAAUAUUUUAAUAUUUCACCAUCUUCUAAUUCAACUACCUAUCACCUUCAACCACCGUUGACCACCACCACCAGCUCCGGCGACCACCAGAAAAUCACUGCCGGCAAACAUAAAAUCACCACCAAAAAAUCAAAAAUCACCGCCAAAAAAUCAAAAAUCAACGCCAGAAAAUUAAAAUCACCACACCACCAUCAGCUACAAACCACCACCGCCACCCCCCAAAUCCGAAAAAUCACCAAAUACAAAACAAAAUGACCAUCAGAAAAAAUAAAAAACACAACUGAAAAUCAUCAUUUUCAAUUCAUCAGCUUCCUCACUAUCUCUCUCAACCUCCUCUCUCUCUCUCCACAUCCACACGCUCUCUCUCAUUCACUACAUCCAACCUCUAUUUCUGCCCAUAUCCAUCAUUAACUCCGACCAUAACAAAAAUUACUAUAUUAAUUGUAAAGCACCACAAACAAACACCAUCGACAAAAUGAAAUCACCACCGUAAAAACAAAAAUCACCGAACCUCCGCCAAUACCAUCUCUAGAUCGGAGUAUCGAAAUCGGAGAUGAUGUGGAUCGACGAUGAAUAGAGAAGAAACAAAAUGAAAGAAUAAGGAUGGGGCUUUUAGAGGGGAGGAAGUAGUCGUGUUUCUGGAGAGAGAGAUCUGUGUUUUUUGUGUGCGUGGCUGGAGACGAGGUCGUCGCCUCGACUACGACGAUGUUGUAGAUCUGGUGGUUGCAUAGCAGCAGCAAUAACGGGUAGUGACGGAUGGCAGUAGAGGGUGGAGGUGGGCAGUGGAGGGGGGGAGGGAAGAGGGAGAGUGUAAUAAAAGAAAAUGUUAAAAUAUAAAUGCGUGGUUGUGAUUUGAUUUAGGGAUAAAAAUGUGGGGCUGAGAUUAGAUCUCAUAUCUCACAUUAGUUGAGAUUCUCAUUUGAGCACUUGCCUAUAUAAAUAUAUAUAUAUAUAUUUACACGAACAUAUACUUAUUUUUUUAAAAAUAUAUAUAUAUAUAUAUAUAUAUAUAUAUAUAUAUAUNAUAUAUUUUUACACGAAUAUAUACUUAUUUUUUUAAAAAAAUAUAUAUAUCGUGUACAUUCGUGUAUAUAAAAUAAAAACCCGAACCCGACACUAAAUUCAACGUGUAUUUUCGUGUUCGUGUACCGAAUAUUGAAAACCAAACCCGAACUUUUCGUGUCGUGUUCGUGUCGUGUUUUCGUGUCGUGUACCAAAUUGCCAGGUCUAAUACAGAUGCACCUAGCACCUUCCACAAUAAACCAAAAAAACCCCAGUUGCUGAUGUGGCAGGUGUAGAGUGGAUGUUACAAAUCUAGACAGUCUAAAAUGGUGGGUGAAACAGCUAGGAUACACGUAAGUCUGAUCUCGAUCACCUCUGAUCUACAUUUAUGUUUGCAAUAGGAUAUACUCGAAUAUUACCCAUUUUAUUUUUUUAUUAUUUCGUUUUGUCAUUUUUAAUCAUUAGCUUCGCUUCUUUCUCAGUUCGCUACAUAUCCUAUCUUAAUCUCAUGGCUUUGUGGGGCCCACACAGUCAGAUUACAGCCACGGUUUCCAUCCUGGCUUCAUCGUGGUCGUUGAUUUACAAGAUUUUUAGAUCACGUGGGACCCGCGAAAAUAAUUGUGUUGUGUGAUUAAAAUCUUAAAAUAGGACGCGGCGUUCAGCAGUGUUUAUGAUUUUUUUGUUGAAUGUUUAUCGAGUCAAUUUUACAAAUAUACCCCUCACAAAUUGAUAGAUUUGUGGUGAGGAAAUGGGUAGGAUGGUCAUUUCGGUGGUUUAAUUAUUGUGGACGAGAUAAACGUUGUAUUCGGGAUAAUUUGUAAGUGGUAUUCCGAAAGAACCACGUUUUAAAUAUUAUAUUGGCCAUCAAACAAGAUGUGACUCCCUCGCAAGUGGCUUGCCGGUGAUUUAUCGCUAACAACAUUGAUUAGAGUUAAAUUAAUCUAAUAAGCAUCUUUUGCACUAAUGAAGCAAGUGUCCAAACUCGUUAAGUUUGGUCCCAGCUCGACUAGUUGAAUACAUCUGCUGCAGCCUCGUUUCAGUAACACAAAUGCAGAGCACCACCCUCUUUUUUCUUGUUAAACCACACCAGCAGAAGUAUUUCAACGAUGAGAAGAGCAACUCACUGGCACCUGCAAAGAUGUAAAUUUCUGGGGGCACUAAACAACUUUUCGGAAAAAAUUAUAUAUAUUUUUAAAUUUUGUGAGGAUAUUUUUAUAAUUUUAUAAAAUUUAGAAUGAUGAAAAUUUGUAAAAAUGAAUUUUGGGGUACACGUGUCCUCCGUCUCUCUUCUUAGAUCCGCCCCGCACCUACGGGUACCGUGUAGUUGCCAAUAUAACAAAAUUAUCAUUUUUUGUAUAUAUUAUAAUUUUCACAUCAUUUUCAUUAUCUAUUUUGUGAAAAAUAUUCCCACAAUUGAUAUUAUUAGACAUCAAUUUUAUUCAAAAUAGUCUAUUUGUAAUUGGAACCAUAAAAUAUAUUUUAUUUAAAAUUGAAAUUAGAAGUAAAGGCCACACCGAUUUUAUGAGAUGUCAAUUUUGACAUCCCAAAUUAAAUACUUAAAUACAUUAUUCGACGUCAUAAUUUUGACAUUUAUAACUUCGAUAAAAUGAUAACAAAAAUGUCACAUAAUAUUAAAAAAAAAUUUUAUCACAGCUUAUUGGAGCUGCUCUUGACAGGGAGAGUCACCGGUUACCGGGCAAGUCGGCGCCAGAAUCUGCAUUACCGAGCUCCGAAAAGUCGCGCAUAGGCAGCAGUCUUCAACCUGCUUUUGAAACUGUCAGCCUAAUUUAGAAAAGGACGGAGAAAGCAAUGUUAAAGUCCAGGUUCAAAAUAUCUUCAAUCAAUUUGAUCGAUUAAUCAUUCUAUUAAUUUUUACGGAAUAUCUUCGUCCCUCUGAUUUCUAUACACUUUCCUUUUUGGGAUGUCUCAUUCAAUUGUAUACAUUUAGAAACUUUCCCAAAAUAGUAAACUUUUAUAAUAUAAAAAUGUCACCCACCCACUACUUCCAUCUACUUUUUCAAUUCUAUCAAUUAAAUAUGCAUGGGUCCCACCACUUUACCUACUUUUCUUUCUCUUUCUCAUUACUUUACACUACUUUAUACACUUCUCCUAGUCUCCGUGUCCAUCCCAAACGUAUACAUCCCAUAGGACGGAGGGAGUAACAUAUAUUGGUCAAACUAAUAUAACUUGUUUAUUAGAUUAAAUAUCAAAUAUUAUUUAAUAUAUCCGAUUAAUAUUCCAACUCAUCACUAAACUAUGACUCCAUCAAUUAAAUAUUAUUUAAUAUAUCCGAUUAAUGUUCCGACUCAUCAUUAAACUAUGACUCCAUCAAUUAAGUCGAAUUUAUACAUUUUAAAAUACCGUCUAUAAUAUAUAAAAUCAACAAAAUAUUUGCGUUUAAAUUUAAUGUCAAAAAUAUACCACUUCUCGUGAUCAAAUGCGAUCUAGAAGAUAUUCUCAAUGUUUAGAACAUAAUAACCUAUACUAUAUUUAGGAUUUUAGUUAGAACAUGUUGAAAUUAUUUUAAAAGAGUAUUUAGAGAUUAUUGUCUAAUGUUAAGAGUAACUCCAACGGAAUCACUUGUUAGCUAAAAUUGUGAGUGGCACCCAUUAUACAAAUCUUUUAAAAUUUUAAGUACUCCAACGAGAUCAGCUAAAAUUUUAGCUAUCAAGUUUUCAUCCUUCAAAUUUGCUGAUUCUCUCUCCGUUAUCUAUAUGAGCUCCACCUCAGCUUUCUGUCUCUUUUACCGUUUCCUCCUGUUCAUUUUACAUGUAAGUAUGUAUUAUUAAAAUUUAAAAACUAUAUUAAAUAUUUACAAUUUGUUACUUUUAUGUAAUAUUAAGUGUAAAAUUAUCUUAUCAUAAAAAAUAUAAAAAAAUUUAUUGUUAACAAAUUUAUUAAUUACUUAUAAUUAUUUCGUAUUAGAUUAUACAUUUAAAACCUAUUGAUAAAUUAAUAUAAUAAAAAUAGUGUUUCUAGUUUUAAAAAUUAUCUUAUUUUAAAAUAUUUGAAUAAAAUUUGGGAAUUAAUU
rnacentral:lncRNA from 1 species